rnacentral:rRNA from 1 species
GCAAAUAUUCAAAUUUCUAUAACAAACCUUAAAGAAAAUUCUCACCUUACAAAGUAUUUUAUGAAAAAUCACCUAAUUAAUCAACCGCAAGGGCUAACACUCAGCUUUUUCAAGAAAUGAUAAUUCCAUGUCCCUCUUGCAUCAUGGAGAAGCAACAAAAUCAUAGCAACCUACACUCCCGAAUGACCAUGAGCUACUAACCCUUAAAAAUCAGUGUUUCAUAAUUGAUAAAGUAACUUUUAGUAGAAGUAACAAGCCUUUCAUAUAGUCAAAUAGCUGGUUUUUCUUCAAAAGCAUCAAAGUGCUAGCUUAUAAUAUAACCCACUUCUUUAGGUUAUAAAGCUUAGCCUAUUGAGGAUAAGCUCAAUAGGGUCUCAAAAAUUUUUUAUUACUCAACCUCGUUAGUAGGCUCAAAAGCAGCCAUCUAAUAACGUUUUAGUUACUGAAAUCACCCAUUUAAUAUUUAUACAUCCUAUUUUAAAAUCAAAGAAAUUUAACAAAAAAUUUUACUGUUACUAAACAGGCAUUCUAUUAGUAUUAACAAAACCUAUUACCCAAUAAUCACUAAAAGAAUUUGGACCGAAAUAUAUUUUUAUAUAAACUAUACAAAGCGAACUCGGCAAAUCAGUUCCCUGCCUGUUUACCAAAAACAUCGUCUUUUGAUAAUCUCCCAUAAAAGAUAAUGCC